CGUUAUAAUAGAAACGCUCAUUGUUGUAAUUAUUUUUACCAUAAUAUUGUUGUCAACAAAGCAACAAUAUCAACUGAACUCCACUAAGAAUUGUCUUUUCAUUAGCAAUGGUUUAUCGCUACUUACAGAUAUAAAUUGAAUUCCCGUUUGUAUCCUACCUCUCACCUACAAUAGUACAAAGUAUGUCCGUCCUUUUUUAAAUAUGCUAACAUAUUAUGUAGCUUUUUGAUAAAAU